GCGCCCGUAGCUCAGCUGGAUAGAGCAACGCCCUUCUAAGGCGUUGGUCGAAGGUUCGAAUCCUUCCGGGUGCG
rfam:Pseudoalteromonas sp. P1-25 AN393_contig000039, whole genome shotgun sequence.